GGGUGAGCCAGGGCCUACUCUACAGGAAUAGGAAACUCACUAAGAGUGUGCCUACCCAAAAUGCAUGGGUGGGCAGAUGUGUGGUUUUGCUCUGACAUUUGGAACAGGCGAUUACAACUGAUUCCCAGAAUGUCUGGGGUAUGUGUGCAGGGUGAGAGGACUCUGGCAUAGGGAACGGACUGGGUGCUGACAGAGGCUCACACACCCCUUCCCCCCAGGAGGCCUCUCCUAGAGCACGUGGCUGCUCCACUCAGCUUUGCCUGGCAAAUGUUUUCUUGAGAUAAAAUUAUUUUUUCACAAGUACACGCUUUGCUAAAUGAAGCGGUGGGAAGGCUGGGGCCUUGUUUUGUGCCCUCGGCUUCCCAGUCCUAAUCCAGCAAAUGUCAGGAUUCACAGCUUGUAGUCCGGGAACAUUUGGUCAGAUCUGGGGAGGCUUUAGAGAAAAGAUGUGCAGGGAGGUGGAGGUCAGAGAUGGUCUCUGGCCCCUCUGGGAAGGAUCGGCAGCAGAGAGACUUGGAUUAAAAGACAUUGUGGAGCCUUACCAACUGCCGCAAUAGCUCACACACAACUUCCACAGCUCAGGGAUACGGCUACUCCAGAGGAGAAUAAGCAUAAGCAGCGAACACGUGAGGACCCAGGAAAAGCUGGUGGUGUCCUCACAGUGAUGACUACCUCUCCCUGACUACACAGUGGCCUUAGACUCCCGGCAUAGCAUGGAGUCGUGCUUCUUAAGGCCAGAGACUCACCGAAGCUUGGAUUCCUGGCUCUAGCCCUUUUGUGCUUGUCUAGCGUACAGCCUGAGCAUCAUUCAUCCUUCUGACAGCCUUGCGAGUAGACCAGGGGCCAUAUUUUGAAAUCUUCUGGAGUAAGGGGCUGCAGAAAAGCCUCCUGAGAGCCCUUCAGCCAUACUUCUUAAGGGAGUGUAUUAGAAACCCAAAAGCUUGGUGAGCAGUCCCGUGUCUGUCUACACAGGCGACGAUUGCUUCCUCUUUCUUGUUUUUUUUUUUUUUGGGGGUGGUGGUGGUGGUGGUGGUGGUGAUGGUGUUCUCCAUGCUUCCUCUACCCAAAGUGGUUCUGAUGUACGCUGCUUAAAGCAGCAGUGCCGGAUGGUCCAGGUGACCUUCCAUCUGCUCCAGGUACACUGACCAUUAGGCCAGUUUGCCGGGCUUUGCUUUUGUCUCUCCAUACUCAGGACCAUCACUGCUGAUCCCUACCUGUCCCCCAAACGCAUAAGUCUCUGUGCUGUUUGUCACACAGGCAAACUUCUGCUUUAUGGCAUCCUUCAUUGCACAGACAGCUUCCUCAAUGAGCUCAUGGAACCAGAGGAAGUCUUGGUUGCCUGUGUCCUAGUUGAUGGGUUAGUCACAAGGAGGCUGUGGCUGUUGGCUGCUGUAGGACAGGAAGGGACUAGAAACAAACCAAGACCAAACUGAGUCUCCCCCACUUCCACUCCCAGAAGCCCAUGAUGUGGGGAUCUAGCUACAAAGGUCUGGGCAAUUGGAAAGAGGGGGUAGCUGCUAGACCCACCAGGAGCUGAGCUAGCUGAGAGCCACAGUCCAUCAGUUCCUUAGCCUUGAAAAUAGUUUGAUUACCAAUCUUACCCAGGGAACUGCUACUCCUGGAGUUGUAUCAGGAAUGUUUUAUUCAAGCC
rnacentral:lncRNA from 1 species